GGCGUGGCUUAGCUGGAUAGAGCAUCGGACUCCGACUCCGAAGACCGCGGGUUCGAAUCCCGCCGUCUA
rnacentral:tRNA from 1 species